rnacentral:rRNA from 1 species
UACGUAGGGACCAAGCGUUGUUCGGAUUUACUGGGCGUAAAGGGCGCGUAGGCGGCAAUUCAAGUCACUUGUGAAAUCUCCGAGCUUAACUCGGAACGGUCAAGUGAUACUGCUUCGCUAGAGUGCAGAAGGGGCAACCGGAAUUCUUGGUGUAGCGGUGAAAUGCGUAGAUAUCAAGAGGAACACCGGAGGUGAAGACGGGUUGCUGGGCUGACACUGACGCUGAGGCGCGAAAGCUAGGGUAGCAAACGGG